rnacentral:misc_RNA from 1 species
AAAGUCGUAACAAGGUAACCGUAGGUGAACCUGCGGUUGGAUCAUUAACAAAAUCUUAUUGAUUUUUCCUUCCCUUUUGGGGAAAAAAAGGAAAUCUCUUUAACACUUUCGUGUGAACUGUUUAUUGUCUUUUGGUGUGGUAACGGAUUUUAAUUAAUCUUAAUGAAGGGGUAUCUCUACCUUUUUCAGGCCCACCAAACUAUUUAACUCUUGUUUUUAUGCCUUUAAUUUUUAAAUUUAUGAAAUUUGAAAAACAACUUUUAACAACGGAUCUCUAGGCUCUC